rnacentral:tRNA from 1 species
GCCUAGUUAGCUUAGUUGGUAGUGCGUCUGCCUUGUAAGCGCUAGGCCGUGGGUUCGAUUCCCGCCCGGGACA